GAACUCACUUUAGCAACAGUAGCAAUGAAAUCCUAAUUUUAAUCCCUUUUUGGGUCAUAGAUUACUAAUUGCAAGUGCAUGCAGGGAGACAAUGUAGCAUCCUCAGUAAAAGAUUCUUUUUUAUCUGAAAGACUGUAUGUUCCCCUGCCACCAAACAAACAGAAGUCAAUAAGUGUCGUAUUAAAGCCAUAUCAAAUUUGCCGACCAUUCUCUAAAUGAGGCAAUGGGCCGUAAGUCUCCCUCAUCCAGUAGAAGCUGUCAGUCCUAUCAUUCUGAGGGAAGUAGCUGUCACUGGUGCUGUGUUGGAGAAUUCUGGAAGGCCAAGGGAAGUAUAUCUAGUCAUUCCUUUCUGGCCGAGUGGGGACUUUGGAUUAAGAGACAUGGUUCAUAAAGAACUUGUUUAGAAACGCUUGCACAAAGGGUCCGAAAGAAAAAGCUUUCAACUUUAUCGUCUGUGAGAAGUAUAAGCAUUUGAUGGUACUGAGGGAAAAAAUUGGGAAAAUCAAAUAAAAGUCAUAUGAGUCUGGCGAAACA
rnacentral:lncRNA from 1 species